CAAUAGCGUAUAUUAAAGUUGUUGCGGUUAAAAAGCUCGUAGUUGGAUUUCGGGUGGGUACCGCCGGUCUCCCAUUGGGUAUGUACUGGCGUGGCCCGCCUUGCUGUCGGGGACGGUCUCCUGGGCUUAAUUGCUCGGGAAUCGGAGUCGACGAUGUUACUUUGAGUAAAUUAGAGUGUUCAAAGCAAGCCUACGCUCUGAAUAUGAUAGCAUGGGAUAACACGACAGGACUCUGGCCUAUCGUGUUGGUCUGUAGGACCGGAGUAAUGAUUAAGAGGGACAGUCGGGGGCAUUCGUAUUCCAUUGUCAGAGGUGAAAUUCUUGGAUUUAUGGAAGACGAACAUCUGCGAAAGCAUUUGCCAAGGAUGUUUUCAUUGA
rnacentral:rRNA from 1 species